GUGAGGAAUAUUGGUCAAUGGGCGAGAGCCUGAACCAGCCAAGUCGCGUGAAGGAAGAAGGAUCUAUGGUUCGUAAACUUCUUUUGCAGGGGAAUAAAGUGCAGGACGUGUCCUGUUUUGUAUGUACCCCGAGAAUAAGGAUCGGCUAACUCCGUGCCAGCAGCCGCGGUAAUACGGAGGAUCCGAGCGUUAUCCGGAUUUAUUGGGUUUAAAUGGUGCGUAGGUGGUUUGAUAAGUCAGCGGUGAAAGUUUGCAGCUUAACUGUAAAAUUGCCGUUGAAACUGUCGAUCUUGAGUGCAAAUGAGGUAAGCGGAAUGUGUUGUGUAGCGGUGAAAUGCUUAGAUAUAACACAGAACACCGAUUGCGAAGGCAGCUUACUGGGAUGCAACUGACGCUCAUGCACGAAAGCGUGGGGAUCAAACAGGAUUAGAUACCCGGGUAGUCC
rnacentral:rRNA from 1 species